UACGAAGGGGGCUAGCGUUGCUCGGAAUCACUGGGCGUAAAGCGCACGUAGGCGGAUUGCUAAGUCAGGGGUGAAAUCCUGGAGCUCAACUCCAGAACUGCCCUUGAUACUGGCGGUCUCGAGUCCGGGAGAGGUGAGUGGAACUGCGAGUGUAGAGGUGAAAUUCGUAGAUAUUCGCAAGAACACCAGUGGCGAUGGCGGCUCACUGGCCCGGUACUGACGCUGAGGUGCGAAAGCGUGGGGAGCAAACAGG
rnacentral:rRNA from 1 species